GCCGGGCGUGGUGGUGCAUGCCUGUAAUCCCAGCAACUCAGGAGGCUGAGGCAGGAGGAUCACAAAUUCAAGGCCAGCCUCAGCAAUUUAGGGAGGUCCCAAGCAAUUUUGUGAGACCCUGUCUCCA
rnacentral:sRNA from 1 species